rnacentral:lncRNA from 1 species
GUCCAGGUGGGGAGACCUCAGUAGACAUUCAAGGUCAGUCUGGAGGAGCUCUGAGCAACCUGACUGAGUUGUAGAUAUUCCUGUUCAUUGCAGGGAAGCAUGUUUCUAUUAGAAGAGGAGAAGUGCUCUGUCGUGCUGAACCAAAAAACCUGACCAAAGGGUGCUGAUAGGAUGGUGGCAGCUGGGAAUGUAAAGAAGUGUACAUUUCGUGUUAUAUUGUAUUCUUUUAUAAGGAUUCCCCUGUCCUGUAAUUUUCUGACCCCAAGACCACAA